rnacentral:rRNA from 1 species
AGUGAACGCUGGCGGUAGGCCUAACACAUGCAAGUCGAACGGCAGCACAGUAAGAGCUUGCUCUUACGGGUGGCGAGUGGCGGACGGGUGAGGAAUACAUCGGAAUCUACUUUUUCGUGGGGGAUAACGUAGGGAAACUUACGCUAAUACCGCAUACGACCUACGGUUGAAAGCAGGGGAUCUUCGUACCUUGCGCGAUUGAAUGCGCCGAUGUCGGAUUAGCUAGUUGGCGGGGUAAAGGCCCACCAAGGCGACGAUCCGUAGCUGGUCUGAGAGGAUGAUCAGCCACACUGGAACUGAGACACGGUCCAGACUCCUACGGGAGGCAGCAGUGGGGAAUAUUGGACAAUGGGCGCAAGCCUGAUCCAGCCAUACCGCGUGGGUGAAGAAGGCCUUCGGGUUGUAAAGCCCUUUUGUUGGGAAAGAAAAGCAGCAGGUUAAUACCCCGCUGUUCUGACGGUACCCAAAGAAUAAGCACCGGCUAACUUCGUG